GGGGGUGACAUGGCUUCGACAGGAAGAGUGAGGUCCUAGGUGCAUGCCAAGCUGAUGCAACUUGUAAAACUGUAUCAAAAAAAUAGUCGCAAACGACGAAACUUUCGCUAUCGCAGCUUAAUAACCUGUAGUUAGCCUUCCCGCGUUGGCUUGCCAGUGACUCAACGCAUGGAAGAUCCUUUCACUGGAUCGCAUGGAUUUCCCGUCUGAGAUUGAAGUGCUAAAUUUUAAUCAGACUGGCACAUUGAUGGCGUGUUUGCCCGCAGUUAGUGUGUAAGAUUAAAGACAAACUAAGCAUGUAGUACCGAAGAUUGAUCCUUUUUGGACGCGGGUUCAAUUCCCGCCACCUCCACCA
rnacentral:tmRNA from 1 species